GAUGAACGCUGGCGGCGUGCCUAACACAUGCAAGUCGAGCGAUUCUCUUCGGAGAAGAGCGGCGGACGGGUGAGUAACGCGUGGGUAACCUGCCCUGUACACACGGAUAACAUACCGAAAGGUACGCUAAUACGAGAUAAUAUGCUUUUAUCGCAUGGUAGAAGUAUCAAAGCUCCGGCGGUACAGGAUGGACCCGCGUCUGACUAGCUAGUUGGUAAGGUAACGGCUUACCAAGGCGACGAUCAGUAGCCGACCUGAGAGGGUGAUCGGCCACAUUGGAACUGAGACACGGUCCAAACUCCUACGGGAGGCAGCAGUGGGGAAUAUUGCACAAUGGGCGAAAGCCUGAUGCAGCAACGCCGCGUGAGCGAUGAAGGCCUUCGGGUCGUAAAGCUCUGUCCUCAAGGAAGAUAAUGACGGUACUUGAGGAGGAAGCCCCGGCUAACUACGUGCCAGCCGCCGCCGUAACAC
rnacentral:rRNA from 1 species